rnacentral:rRNA from 1 species
GUGCCAGCCGCCGCGGUAAUACAGAGGGGGCAAGCGUUAUUCGGAAUUAUUGGGCGUAAAGGGCGCGUAGGCGGCUUUGCAAGUGGCGGGUGAAAUCCCUCGGCUUAACCGAGGAACUGCCUGCCAGACUGUGAGGCUCGAGACCGGGAGAGGUGAGUGGAAUUCCCAGUGUAGCGGUGAAAUGCGUAGAUAUUGGGAGGAACACCAGUGGCGAAGGCGGCUCACUGGACCGGAACUGACGCUGAGGCGCGAAAGCGUGGGGAGCAAACAGGAUUAGAAACCCUAGUAGUCC